UACGUAGGGUGCAAGCGUUGUCCGGAAUUAUUGGGCGUAAAGAGCUCGUAGGCGGUUUGUCGCGUCUGCUGUGAAAACCCGAGGCUCAACCUCGGGCCUGCAGUGGGUACGGGCAGACUAGAGUGCGGUAAGGGAGAUUGGAAUUCCUGGUGUAGCGGUGGAAUGCGCAGAUAUCAGGAGGAACACCAAUGGCGAAGGCAGAUCUCUGGGCCGUAACUGACGCUGAGGAGCGAAAGCAUGGGGAGCGAACAGG
rnacentral:rRNA from 1 species